AGGGAUUGAACUGAGGUCCUUGCACUUACACAGCAGGCGUCGAAACCACUGAGCUAAAUCCCUGGCCCUGCAUCCUAUUUUUUAAGGAGCAUCCCCCAAGUGUUUGGACUUCACCCUGCCGAGCUGCGGGCCCUGUGCCCGGGAUGCCUGCUCCGUGGGUGUGUCCGGUCCAACUGGAAAAACCAGGCCUGGGAGACCAGGGCCUGGCGACUGCAGCAGGCCACAAGAAGAGGACAAGGCCUUGCAGGUGCAGUGGAAGGGAAGAAGCUGAUGCCAGCCAUCCCCAGCUCUUCCUCCUAAGCUCUUCCCCGUUGUUGCUCUGGGUGUCUUUCAUUUGCUGCUCUUGAAGAAGCGACCAGGCCCCAACUCCUCCCAGUAAACGGGGCUGAGCCAGCAGUGUCCUCGAGGAAGGGAGGCCGGGCUCCUCAUUUUGGCCGUGGGCUCCACCCAUCACCGCUUUGGGACCCGCAGGAGCAGGGACCCCAGGAGCAGGGACCUGACAGCGCACAGCGGCUUCUCCCUCCCUCCCCGCCUUAGACCCCGCUCCGUCCUCCCCCGGCCCCUAGCUGGGUCUCCUUUUCCUUUUGGCACCAUGACGGGUAUUUACUGCUGGUUUCUGCUCGAGCCUGGUGGGGCAGAAGCGGGGGCAGCCUGGCACCCUGCCCUCUCUGCCCUGUGCAGUGAGGGUGGCAGAGCUGGCACAGGCGUGGGGGCGCCCUGCACCCUUCCCCUGGUACUAAGCUAAGCUCCAGGCCAGGGGGUGCUCAGAGGCUUUGGGGUGUCUGCUUGGCAGCAGCCUCUGACCUUGCCUUCUAGGGACACGGGGUACCUGGGCCCCACUGCCACUGUCCCUAGCCAGUCCCAGCAACAGCUCAGGGAGUGGGUCCUAGGCCGGGGGGGCACUGACGGCCAGGUGCCGGGUGGUGAGCUCAGUCCCGGCAGCCUGAGGCCCAGCCCAGUGAGUCUGAUCCGCCACGUUUGAGAGAGGCAGGAAAGCGGGACUUCAGCUUGAGGGCCCCCAGUUUUCCACUGUGAGCCCCAGUGUUUUAAACAUGCCGAGUCUGGAAGGAAGUGUUCCACCUGGCGCAGCGGCUGCAGCCCACCUGAGGUCCCCUGGGGCUGAUCGGGUACCACCCCACCUGGACUUCUGGGCCCCAGUCCUAGAUUUAGGUCAAAGGACAACAGGACACAAAACCAGCUCCAUGUCACAACCCACACAGAGCACGGCAUGUCUCUUGGGUUCAAUUCCUUUCAUGUUCCAAGAUGGGGCUGUGAGUUUGUCAGCAGUUUCUUACAAGUCACCCUGUCUGUGAGACCUGCUGGAAAACGUCAUGUUCAAUCUGCCAUCUCAGAGCAACCACUGUGAGUGGUACCUCUUGCCGUUGUACAGUGCGAAACCUAUUCCGGGUUCCUGACUCUUGUUUUUUUGAGGAACCCCGAUGUUCAAACACUAAUUUUCACUUGGUUGUUUUUCUAGGAGAUCGCAGGUGGUUGCUUUUAAAAUUUUCUUUCUUUUGGCAGCACUGGGAUUGAACCCAGGGCCUGCACACAGAGCAACAUCUCCAGCCCUUUUUAAAAUGUCUUAUUUUUAAGGCAGGGUCCUGCUAAGUCACUAAGUUGCCCAGGCUGGCUUGGAACUUGCAGUCCUCCUGCCUCAGGCUCCCAGGGUGCCGAAGAUGAUUUCUGAAGGACACACAGGCAAAGGAGGAUGUAGCCCUUUUCCCUUUCUUCUCUACAGCAGAAUUCUUUACUGUUUUUACAGCCGACAGUUUGUCCCCAGGAAGAAAAGACUUUUAUGACCUGGAACAGAGCUGCUGCCACCUUCUUUAUGAGUUUUCUCCGGUUGUACUGACAAGUGACUAUCACGGCCGGGUUUCAUAGCCUUGCUCAGUAUCAAGGGCUCCCAGAGAGUUCCAGGUCCCCAGGACGCACCCUGGUUUGGGCCUCAGAACAGCAGGGGCGACCCUGCUGGGUGAGGAGGGCUCCCCUGCUCCUGGGGUGGUUAGGACUGGGGGUGGGUCACGCCCAGCAGGGGCUUUAAUUAAGGUGAGGGCCAGGGGGCUCGGGUUCAGCAGGCCCAGGAGUCCCUAGGGCGGCCUGGCAUCUGGCAGGGCGUCGCAUGGCAGCCAUGCGAGGAGCCUGCUCCAUCUCCCUUGCUCUUCCCAGAAAGCCACGAAUGCAUCGUGAUGGUCCCCUCACUGGACUCUCCUCACCCCCGACUCGGUUCCCAGCCCAGGAACUGGGUGGCACCGAAACCUCAGCAGAGGGGGCUUCUAGGGGUGUCCGUGAGGAGCUCUUGAGCUGCCCCCGGCUGUGGCUCCCAACGGUGCCCCCUUGCCUUCUCGGGGGUCUCGGGAAGUAACAGUGUCCCUCACAGAGACAGCCAGCUGUUUUGGAAUGAAAUUACAUCUGGCAGCAAAUACGUUUUAAUUUCCCUUGCUAAAUCCUGAGACAAACAAUGAAAGUUAAACUACUGGCAUGGGGACUAAUUUUAAUCAAUGCCCAAAGCAGAGAGAAGCAGGAGGGGUCUGCCGUGUGACUGAGAUGCAGACGGGCUCCCCUGGGCUCCCAUCAUGAUCAACGGCCUGCCCUGGGCACCUCGGCCACCUGCUCUGUCCCUGGCAGGUGACAGGGGACAGAGGCAGCCCCGAGGGUAAAUCCAUCCCAGCACCCGGGGAAGGAAGCCAGCACCCUCUGGGAUCUGCAAAGAUGCCCCUGCCCGGAGGCCAGACUGACCCUUGGGAUGGGCCUUGAGGCCCAUCCCAAGGCCCUGAUCCCAGAGCAGAGACAACAGCAGUAUGUGACCUUCACAUGAGAUCUCACACACCUUCUGCAGAACAGACCGCAGCAAAGGGGGGUUCGGGGGUGUGAAGACCCACUGUGUCUCCAGUCACCUGCAGGCUUAGAUUCCAGGGGCCCGUGACAGUCAGUUGUGAUGGUUGAUGUGCUUGGCUUGAUUGGCGUCUGGAUGGGUCAUGGGGUAUGCCCUUGAGGACUGUGUCUGGUCCCUUGCCCCUUCCUCUCUGGUGCUCUUCCCUUAUCUCUACUUCCUGGUCACCAUGAACUGAGCAGCUUUCCUCCACCACACCCUUCUGCCAGGAUGUUUCUGUCUGGGAACCAGCGACCAUGGACUGAAUCUCCUGAAACCAUGAGCCAAAUGAAUCACCUCCUUCUUCACACCGUGGGUGUCCCAUGUCUUGUCCCAGCCCUGACCCUGGGACAGAGAAGCCACCACUCAGCAUGCUCUGGCUCCCACGGGGGCCUCUCCUUGGCUCCUCUUACCCUUCCUGGCUUGGAGACUUUCCAGCCCAUGGCAGAUCCCGAAGGAGAAGAUGAUGACAUAGAUUCUGCCUGGCUGGGCGCUGUCAGGCUCCUGAGCCUUCUCACUGGACCAUCUGUGCUCCUCCCUAUAAAACUCAGUUUCAGCAAGAAGCCUAUUAGGAGGAUGCAGCCAGAAUCCCCCUUGCCCGGUGUCUCCUCUGAGUGACUUUCCGUCCACGGAGCCCACUCUGCUCUGUCAUCACCAUUCUCCCCAGCUGUGUAUUUGGAGUUCAGCCCAACCUCCCCUCCCACCACGAAGCCACACUGCCUGGUCUGUACCCCUAACUUUUUUUUUUUCCAAUACUGGGGAUUGAACCCAGGGUCUUUGCAUGGAGCUCCAUCCCCAGCCCUUAUAAUAUUUUACAAAUUUUGACACAGACCCUCUCUCAGCAGCUGGGUUUCCCAGGCUGGGCUCAAACUUGCAAUCCUCCUGUCUCAGCUUCCCUGAGAGCUGGGGUUACAGGUGUGUGCUUCUGAGCCUGCUACCUACCCUGGACUUGAUGGUACAACAGGUGCCAUGGUCCUGCCCUUCUGGAAAGCACGAAGACUGGAAGCAUUCGUGGCAGUGACUGCGCCUUAUGGGCCUACACCAAGCCAGCUUCCAUGCCUCACGGCCCUGACCUAGGUAGCUGAUCGUCCACAAUGCCCAGGAUGCGGCCCUCCAGAAGCUGUCCUCACGGAAGCCUUCAUGGUCUGAGCUAGCGGCCAACAGUCCACAGGGUGCAGAGAUCCGUGCCACACCAGGGAGCCUGCAGUGUUGUGGGACAUGCUGGCACUGGACAUCGUGAUGGCACUGUUAGUCCUGAAGGAGGAAGACUAGUGUCCCCUGAACAUGGCCAAGGAGAACAGACUCUACUGCAGCCUGGAAGGGGCUGGUGCUGGGGGGCUUGGUCAUGGCAGUCAGAGCUGAAGCCCACCAUCCCAUCCAUCUGCCUCUAGACGGUGUUUAGGAGGAAUGGGCCAGGUCACCUGAGCAGGAAGUCAGCGGCUUUGGUGCCCGGAUCUUGUGGCAGUGGGCACCAUUUUGGUUAUGCUUUGCCAUACCCAUGUGGGGCUGGGCCAGCGUGGGCCAGAAACUGAGGCUAUCAGAGGAGGCAAGUCCUGGGGGCUAUUAGCCGUGGCAACACUAGUGCCAGUUCUGACGUUUUGUGGGUGCUGGGCACUCUUCUGACCUAUAUGCCUGACCUGACAUCAUGCUCACUGCCUCCCUAUGAGGCUUUACAAGUAGAAAACUGUGCUGAGGUGUGUGGCUUGGUGGUAGAGCCCUUGCCUAGCAUGGGUGAGGCCUUGGGUUCGAUCUCCAGCACUGGAAAAAAGGGAAACUGAGGCAUAGAGAGGUUGAGCACCUUCUGUCCUCACCAGGUGCCUUGGGAAGUGGGACGUUUCACUAGAAUGAGACGGGCAAUUCUUAGAGAACAAAGGGAGAGUCAGGCUCCUCUGUCCCUGCCCAGGGCAGUCUCAGAUGAAGACAGCUGGAGUUCAGAGUACAAGGAGAACAACCCCAAAUCUUGUGAGGAGCUACAGGACAGCUGGUCUACCCUGGUCUGGCUGGGGGGGGUGGUCCCCAGGGAUGACUCUGACGCUCUGGGAAGUGUCUGUCCUCUCAGGGGACACCAGGGUGAAGGGCCCACUGGGCCUGAGCCUCACCAGCGAGCUUCACCAACCGGAGCUCUGCUGUGGACCCGGAGGCCAUAGGGAGCAAUUCGCAGAUGUAAGGAGACAUUGCCGCAGGCAGCAGAGCCUGCAGCCCCACCCAAAGGCACUCGGGCCCUUGCCUGGAAGCAGGAAGUAGGCCAGAAACUGUGCACAUGGGAGGGAGAGUCCCCAGCCUGCCCCUCCCCAGUACUGAACACAGGAAGUGUCCUGAGGGCAGAGCUAGGGACAAGCAGUGGACCCAUCAGGCCAGCAGUGCUAGGCGACCACAAAUUCUCCCCCAACUUUACAAGUGGAACUCGGAUUGCAAGGCACCUGAGUCCCCUCCAACAUUGGGAACCAGGGUGCUGGGGAUGAUGGGAAUUCUUGCCAGGCUUGGAGCCAGCCUGGAGGAAGAGAAUGACAUGUGGCCAGCAGGGGCAAGGGACAGGGAGUGGACAGGGUUUCCUCCUCCGUCACUGCUGCUCGCCAUGCCACCCCUGCAGCUGCUUCCCUCUGGGUUUGGAGCAGAGGGGCCUGGAGGACUUGGGGUCCCUGGAAGCAGAGGAGCCUCGUGUCAGGGUCUCUUCCCAGGCCCUGUGCCGGCUCCGCCCGUCCCUGCUUUGUGACGCAGCCUGGUGCCAGGCUGUCUCUGAAUGGGAAAUCUGUGUACCUGUCUCACAGGAGGCAGUGUAAACCUGGCGCGGUAUGGGUGCAGAGUUCAACAAAAGGGCAUUGUUAUUUUUACAGCGACCUGGGAGCCUUGGAGACAGCCCUAGGACCUGCCCCAACCACAAGAACAACAACCCAAGAACUGCUUCCCUGUUUGAACUGGGCUCCGCAUUCCCCAAGGAGCCUGCUGGGAACCCGGGGUUGGAUGGAGUCCUUGCCUUCCUUCCUCGCAGUAGUCGCAGACCCAGGGCGUGGCCAUCCUCUGGGGACGUGGCCCAAGGCCCUCAUGUCACUGCGGCUAGGAGCAACUCACUGUCCCCUGCCUUUUCAAGGGCCUCAGUCCCUUCUCUCCUUCUGACUGUGAGCACCGGUAGGAAUUGUGGAGCCAGGUAACAUCAAAACAAAGUGCAGAAUUAACUUCUUCAUCUUUCAAAUUUAAUAUUAAUAUUUAAUUUUGGUUUUUUGAGAGAGAGAGUCUCGCUAUGCAAUCCAGGCUGGCCUUGAACUCACUGUGUAACUCAUGCUGGCUUCGAACUCACAGCGAUCCUCGUGCCCCAGGAUAAUUUUUACUUUGGACAUAAGUUUUUUUUUUUCUUUUUUUGGUUCUGGGGAUUGAACUUGGGUCCUUGCGCUUGCGCAGCAGGUGGGGAAACCACUGAGCUAAAUCCUGGCCCCUGGACAUAAGUUUUAUGUUAGUCGUGUGGAGGUGUUUCGAGCAGACACAGGGCUUUUCUGGACAUUCCCACAGGAGUUUCUAAGCACAUCGAAAAAAUUUCCUCAGGGCACAUGCACGGGAGUGGAAUUUCUGCAUGAACCAUGCAUUUUCUUAACAUCACUGCAUGAUGCUGAAAAGCUCUUCGAGAUGGCCAGGGCUCCCUGUCCCUGGCCCCAGUGGGUCCUGUGUUGGCCAUUCAUAGCAUUUUAUUAUGACAAAAAUAAAUAUAACAUAAAACUUAAUACUUCAUGCUCCCCAUCAUCUUGAAGCCACGGGCUUGACAGAAGGGUGGAAUGGGCUUUUCAAGACUUAGCUACGGCCCCAGUGAGGGAUGACACCUUGCAAGCUGGGCCGCACACUCCUGAGGGCUGUGUGUGCCCUGAAUCGGGUCCAGCACAGGUGCUGUUUCUCCCAAAGCCAGCGUCCAGGGUCCAGGAUUCAAGGGGUAGGGAUGCAAGCGGCCCAACUCAGCACCCCAUGCAGUGACCUGCUGAUGGAAUUUCUGUUUCCUGUUCUCAAGGCUUUAUGCCUUGCUGGCCUAGGAAUCUUUGUAACAUGGGAAGGAAUGUUUCUGCCAAGAGACAGUGCCAAGAUCCAUUAAACCAGAAUGGAAGACAGCCGCCUGGGCACCUGGUCCCCUCCCAUUUCUGACUCAGCAGCAAAGCAGAGCAUGGCCACGCUGGCGGGGGACUCAUCCAGAUCACCUCGGGCAAGGGCCAGGGGCUGGAGAGUCCCCAGGGAGGGAGACCUGGGUCACGUCGCCAGGACCAGUGAGCUGCUCUGGAGGCAGAGGGCACUGCAAAGCAUUGUCCACUGGACACCGUGGCUUUAAGUGAUGGCCCAUCAAGGGGAGGCGUUAAGAUCACUCAAGGACUCUACCUCCUUGUGCACAAGAGGUGUGUGAAGUUUGGCAGAAUUUUAACCUGGUUAUUGUCCUUAGCUUGAGAUUAAGCAUGGCUCCGGGAGACCAGCUUGGGUAGACUGGAGAUGGCUUGUUUUACACAUCAUGUGGAUUGGCCUUGCCCGUGGGGUGCUGUUACUUCUGGAUGUGUCUGUGGGAAAGGGGGUCUGAGUGUGCACAGCGAGCCCCUAAGGGUUGGACCCGGCGCGGAGGGUGAGGAGACUAAGUUCGCCCUCGGCCUCUGCUCACGCUGCCCGAGACCUUCUGAUUCUCACCUCAGGCUGUCCUGGGAC
rnacentral:lncRNA from 1 species